rnacentral:rRNA from 1 species
GUGCACGCUGGCGGUAGGCCUAACACAUGCAAGUCGAACGGCAGCACAGUAAGAGCUUGCUCUUACGGGUGGCGAGUGGCGGACGGGUGAGGAAUACAUCGGAAUCUACUUUUUCGUGGGGGAUAACGUAGGGAAACUUACGCUAAUACCGCAUACGACCUACGGGUGAAAGCAGGGGAUCUUCGGACCUUGCGCGAUUGAAUGAGCCGAUGUCGGAUUAGCUAGUUGGCGGGGUAAAGGCCCACCAAGGCGACGAUCCGUAGCUGGUCUGAGGGGAUGAUCCGCCACACGGGAACUGGAAACCGGCCCCACCCCCUACGGGAGGCAGGAGGGGGGAAAUUGGGAAAAGGGGGGCAAGCCUGAUCCAGCCAUACCGGGUGGGUGAAGAAGGCCUUCGGGUUGUAAAGCCCUUUUGUUGGGAAAGAAAAUCAGCAGGUUAAAACCCCGCUGUUCUGACGGUACCAAAAGAAUAAGCACCGGCUAAUUUCGG